CCUACGGGAGGCAGCAGUGGGGGAUAUUGCACAAUGGGGGAAACCCUGAUGCAGCAACGCCGCGUGAGUGAAGAAGGUCUUCGGAUUGUAAAGCUCUGUUCUUGGUGAAGAUAAUGACGGUAGCCAAGGAGAAAGCCCCGGCUAACUACGUGCCAGAAGCCGCGGUAAUACGUAGGGUGCGAGCGUUGUCCGGAUUUACUGGGGGUAAAGGGUGCGCAGGCGGCUCUGCAAGUCAGGCGUGAAAGCUAGGGGCUUAACCCUUAGACUGCACUUGAAACUGGGGAGCGUGAGUGAAGUAGAGGCUGGCGGAAUUCCCAGUGUAGCGGUGAAAUGCGUAGAGAUCGGGAGGAACACCAGUGGCGAAGGCGGCCUGCUGGGCUUUAACUGACGCUCAGGCACGAAAGCAUGGGUAGCAAACAGGAUUAGAUACCCCAGUAGUC
rnacentral:rRNA from 1 species